rnacentral:rRNA from 1 species
GAUGAACGCUAGCGGCAGGCCUAAUACAUGCAAGUCGGACGGGAUUCAGGAGCUUGCUUCUGAUGAGAGUGGCGCACGGGUGCGUAGCACGUAUGUAACCUACCUUUAUCAGGGGGAUAGCCUCUCGAAAGAGAGAUUAAGCCCGCAUAAAAUCACAGCACAGCAUUGUGUAAUGAUCAAAUAUUUAUAGGAUAAAGAUGGGCAUGCGGAACAUUAGCUAGAUGGCGGGGUAACGGCCCACCAUGGCGACGAUGUUUAGGGGAUCUGAGAGGAUGGCCCCCCACACUGGUACUGAGACACGGACCAGACUCCUACGGGAGGCAGCAGUAAGGAAUAUUGGUCAAUGGGCGGAAGCCUGAACCAGCCAUGCCGCGUGCAGGAAGACGGCCCUACGGGUUGUAAACUGCUUUUAUACGGGAAUAAACCCAGAUACGUGUAUCUGGCUGAAUGUACUGUAAGAAUAAGAAUCGGCUAACUCCGUG